GACGAACGCUGGCGGCGUGCCUAAUACAUGCAAGUUGAGCGCUGAAGGUUGGUACUUGUACCAACUGGAUGAGCAGCGAACGGGUGAGUAACGCGUGGGGAAUCUGCCUUUGAGCGGGGGACAACAUUUGGAAACGAAUGCUAAUACCGCAUAAAAACUUUAAAAACAAGUUUUAAGUUUGAAAGAUGCAAUUGCAUCACUCAAAGAUGAUCCCGCGUUGUAUUAGCUAGUUGGUGAGGUAAAGGCUCACCAAGGCGAUGAUACAUAGCCGACCUGAGAGGGUGAUCGGCCACAUUGGGACUGAGACACGGCCCAAACUCCUACGGGAGGCAGCAGUAGGGAAUCUUCGGCAAUGGACGAAAGUCUGACCGAGCAACGCCGCGUGAGUGAAGAAGGUUUUCGGAUCGUAAAACUCUGUUGGUAGAGAAGAACGUUGGUGAGAGUGGAAAGCUCAUCAAGUGACGGUAACUACACAGAAAGGGACGGCUAACUACGUG
rnacentral:rRNA from 1 species